rnacentral:rRNA from 1 species
UACGUAGGGCGCAAGCGUUGUCCGGAAUUAUUGGGCGUAAAGAGCUCGUAGGCGGUUUGUCGCGUCUGCUGUGAAAACCUAAGGCUCAACCUUGGGCUUGCAGUGGGUACGGGCAGACUAGAGUGCGGUAGGGGUGACUGGAAUUCCUGGUGUAGCGGUGGAAUGCGCAGAUAUCAGGAGGAACACCAAUGGCGAAGGCAGAUCUCUGGGCCGUAACUGACGCUUGGAGGAGCGAAAAGCAUGGGGAGCGAAC